GGCGAUAGCUCGGUUGGUAAAGCGUGGGUCUCAUGACCAUAAAAUCGCAGGUUCA
rnacentral:tRNA from 12 species